UCCGCAGUAGCUCAGUGGUAGAGCUAUCGGCUGUUAACCGAUCGGUCGUAGGUUCGAGUCCUACCUGUGGAGCCA
rnacentral:tRNA from 4 species